GGGGAGGUAACGGCUUACCAUGGCAACGAUGGGUAGGGGUCCUGAGAGGGAGAUCCCCCACACUGGUACUGAGACACGGACCAGACUCCUACGGGAGGCAGCAGUGAGGAAUAUUGGACAAUGGGCGCAAGCCUGAUCCAGCCAUGCCGCGUGCAGGAAGAAGGUCCUAUGGAUUGUAAACUGCUUUUAUACAGGAAGAAACAACGCUACGUGUAGCGUCUUGACGGUACUGUAUGAAUAAGGACCGGCUAACUCCGUGCCAGCAGCCGCGGUAAUACGGAGGGUCCAAGCGUUAUCCGGAAUCAUUGGGUUUAAAGGGUCCGUAGGCGGCCAAAUAAGUCAGUGGUGAAAGCCCAUCGCUCAACGAUGGAACGGCCAUUGAUACUGUUUGGCUUGAAUUAUUAGGAAGUAACUAGAAUAUGUAGUGUAGCGGUGAAAUGCUUAGAGAUUACAUGGAAUACCAAUUGCGAAGGCAGGUUACUACUAAUAUAUUGACGCUGAUGGAC
rnacentral:rRNA from 1 species